rnacentral:misc_RNA from 1 species
AAGUCGUAACAAGGUUUCCGUAGGUGAACCUGCGGAAGGAUCAUUAACACGUAUCCAACGUUAAAAGCACCCCUGUGAACCCGUUAAUCUUGCUCCUCACGCCCUGCACGCCUAGCAAUCCCUGGUAAAUCAUUGUCUGAACAGAUUUGAAUGGUAAUGACACUCCAUCUGCGUGGGAUGUUUGCGACGUAGCAAAUCACUUGGCUCCCCAAGCAACCAUGUGACAAAAAGCGGCUCAUGGAAGCGUAAGGAGACGCUGUAACGUUUUGCUGUAGGCCCACACGGCCGGCAAUCCAAGUGGUUGUACUUCGGUACCCCUACAUCGGUACACCCCCGAUGAAAUGUCAAUUUCGCGAAUGGACUAAAGCUUCGCACCAAAAGCCGAACAACUGUUAACAAUGGAUAUCUUGGUUCUC